AGUUUGGUUGUUAGAUGGUGGCUACUGACUGUUACAUGUAAUAGGAACUUAAAAGUCGGCUUGAAUAGCAUUUAGUAGUCAUUUAUAAUGUAUGCCAAGUUCUCCACUGGAAUGAAUGAAAGGACAUAUAAAGAGCAGAGAUGAANUAAGGUGGACUACCUCUAUUUGCUCAAGAAUCAUGGUGCCUUAACAUUUGGCCUUUCACCAUUCUUUAAGGUGUGUGNCUUUGGAUCUCUAUUUGUAGCAUUUUGGUUUAUUGAUGACCUUUGAAAUUUUUGUCUAAUAGGGGAAAAAUAUAAAAAGUAGUUCAAAGAUGCAGCUGCCAUGGAACUUAAGGUCACUGAGUAGCCUACAAUAUUGGACAAGGUAAAAAACCUUUUUGUAUUCUCUUUUCAAUUUAUUCAAUUAACAAUUUUUUAUUGUCAGUGUCAAAGGAAGGGUAAGAAUUGAGAAACACUAUGAACAGAUUGAAUAAUCCUGCAGCUCUGCUAGCUUUAUGUUGGUAUUAGGCUAUAGACGACAUAAGAUCUAAGGUGGGA
rnacentral:lncRNA from 1 species